CAAACACCCAUCUUGAUCUCCAAGUUGAAUUCACUAGGCAUAGUUUUUACCCAUAUUAUUGAUAUGUUUGUAAAGUAUUGGUAAUGCAUAAUUGAAUAUAUAUUUGAAGUCUUAAUAUCGAUGUUUGACUAUUAAGGUUUGCUCAAGAUGUGUCCAAGUAUUGGAUGGAUUUACCGAGAUAUGGCAAGGAAUAUAUUAAUGGUGUUCAAUGUUUCUUGGACUUUGCUUACACUGUUGGAGAUCCUCAAAGCGAAGAAAUCCAAUGUCCUUGUGCAGAGUGUUGUAAUAUCCGUUGGUAAAGAAGGAAUGUAAUAUAUGAUCAUCUAAUAUGCUAUGGAUUUGUUGAAGGUUAUACAAGAUGGAUUAAUCACGGGGAAUGGGAUAUUGUGAUGAAGGUUGAUAGUGACAAAGAUGAUGAAGUUAACUCAAAUGUCAACAUUGAUGGUAAAUCAGUGACAGCAAGUUAUCUAAAAAUAGAUGAAGAAAUCAGCAAAUUCAAACGGCAAUAUGCUGACAAUGUUGCUUCUAUAAGAAGUGACAUACAAAAAUUAAAGGAAGAAGUACGAGAAUUACGUCAUUUUAUGAGUGUAUUGGUGCAAAACAACCCUGUAUUGGACGUUCAUGACAUGGCUGAGUAUUCUGGAUCUAACCUACUUUCUCGGGAUGAUGCAAAUAGUGCAGGGGACAUGAGAGGCCAAAAUCUUUCAUGUUCCUCUGAAUCAACUCAUUAGCCAUGAAGAGAUUAAGUAGUGUAGCUACAAAGCAGCUGGAUAGAAGUGUCCAAAGUAUUCUCAAUACCUUUGAAUUGAUAGAAUUUGGAAGACUAGUCUGGGUGCACAUCAUCAGUGUCAUUCCAUGAAGGACCAAGAAACUCAUGAUGUGAGUUUUCAGAAUGCUAAGACUGCUAACUUGAAAUGCAUAAGAGGAAAGAGUUAUGAUGGGUCACCUAUCGUUGUUAGCGUAGCUGAGGGUAAAUUGACAUUUGUGUUCUUAUGUGCACACCUCUGUUUUUGAGACAAUAGAGCAAGUAGGACAAAUCCCAAUAACUUCUUGCGUUGGGCGAUGGAUAACUUCCAGAUAUGUUGCU